GGAUUAGAUACCCUGGUAGUCCACGCCGUAAACGAUGAUCACUCGUUAUUGGCGAUAUACUGUCAGUGACCAAGCGAAAGUGAUAAGUGAUCCACCUGGGGAGUACGAUCGCAAGGUUGAAACUCAAAGGAAUUGACGGGGGCCCGCACAAGCGGUGGAGCAUGUGGUUUAAUUCGAUGAUACGCGAGGAACCUUACCAGGGCUUAAAUGCAGAACGACAGAUCUGGAAACAGAUCCUUCUUCGGACGGACUGCAAGGUGCUGCAUGGUUGUCGUCAGCUCGUGUCG
rnacentral:rRNA from 1 species